CACCAGCCCCUCGAGUGGUGGGGAUGAUUAUUUGGCCUAAAGCGUCCGUAGCCGGCCGGGUAAGUUUCCCGUUAAAUCCAGCGUCUCAAGCGUUGGACUGCGGGAAAUACUGCCUGGCUAGAGAGUGGGAGAGGUCAGCGGUAUUCUGGGGGUAGGGGCGAAGUCCUUUGAUCCCCGGAGGACCACCAGUGGCGAAGGCUGCUGACUAGAACACGUCUGACGGUCAGGGACGAAAGCUGGGGUAGCGAACCGGAUUAGAUACCCGGGUAGUCCCAGCCGUAAACGAUGCAUGCUAGGUGUUGGGUUGGCCACGAGCCACCCCAGUGCCGCAGGGAAGCCGUUAAGCAUGCCGCCUGGGAAGUACGAUCGCAAGAUUGAAACUUAAAGGAAUUGGCGGGGGAGCACCACCAGGCGUGAAGCCUGCGGUUU
rnacentral:rRNA from 1 species